AUAUGGAAUUUUGGUAUCGCUUGUACAGGAUAGGUGGGAGCCUGGGAAGCGGAGCGCCAGCUUCGGUGGAGGCGGCGGUGGGAUACACCCUGGCGAUAUUGAAAUUCUAACCCG
rnacentral:rRNA from 1 species